rnacentral:rRNA from 1 species
UGGGGAAUAUUGGGUAAUGGGCGCAAGCCUGACCCAGCAAUGCCGCGUGGGUGAAGAAGGUCCUCGGAUCGUAAAGCCCUUUCGGCGGGGACGAUGGUGACGGUACCCGCAGAAGAAGCCCCGGCUAACUUCGUGCCAGCAGCCGCGGUAAUACGAAGGGGGCUAGCGUUGCUCGGAAUGACUGGGCGUAAAGGGCGCGUAGGCGGCGCGGUCAGUCGGGCGUGAAAGCCCCGGGCUCAACCCGGGGACGGCGCCCGGGACGGCCGUGCUGGAGGACGGGAGAGGGCCCGCGGAAAUUCCCCAGUGUAGAGGUGAAAUUCGUAGAUAUUGGGAAGAACACCGGUGGCGAAGGCGGCGGCCUGGCCCGUGCCUGACGCUGAGGCGCGACAGCGUGGGGAGCAAACAGGAUUAGAUACCCUGGUAGUCCACGCCGUAAACGAUGUGCGCUGGGUGUCGGGGCCCCUAGGGCCUCGGUGCCGCAGCCAACGCGUAAGCGCACCGGCCCUGGGGAGUACGGCCGCAAGGUUGAAACUCAAAUGAAUUGACGGGGUCAUAGCUGUUU